GCGAUCGUGGCGGAACGGCAGACGCGCUAGGUUGAGGGCCUAGUAGGAGUAUUCCUGUGGAGGUUCAAAUCCUCUCGGUCGCAC
rnacentral:tRNA from 2 species